UCCUGGAAUUAUGAUACAGCACUGUCAGUUUCACUUGCAAGUGGAUUCAGCUGUUUGGAAAUUGUGAUGCAAGUCAGAAGGCCUGAUGCUUAAAAGCAUUCAGAAUAUUUGAGGAGGAAGAGGCAGGGGGAAAAGAGGAAUCUCCUAGUCACUGUGAUGUUUCCAUAAUCUUUUCUGGGCAGAUUAAAUGACAACAGUAUUGACUCCCAUGACCUGGAAAAUGUUCUUAUUAAUAUUCCGUUCUGUUAAGCUGUAGCCAUGGUGGAUGACUGGACCAGAGUGCAAUGUCUCAUGAAGAUAAAAGGCCAAAGACCUUUGGAUAUCCAGAGAACACAUCCUUCUCUCUACCUCCAAGGCAUGCAGUUUAGAAAAAAAAAAUACUGGUAAGAAAAAAAAGAUUACCUGACUCUCAUGAAUCUCAGAAACUACUUUAGGGAUUAAUCUGGGGUGAGAGCAUAAUGAGACCUUUUCUUAUAGAAAGUAAUAUAUAGCAGGUAAACCAUGAGCACCCCCAGCUCACUGACUCUUCUGUUAGAAAGGCCACCUGCACAGACAGAUGGACCAUAGAACAUGUGGUUAGAAGCUCAAAGGGAAAUUUAGAGAGAGACGACCAAACAAAACUGAGGUCCCACUGACAUGCAAACUUCACCAAUGGAGGAAACAAUUUGAGAAGCGCCUUCAGAAAUCUAGUUGCAACAGGUGAGUGAAGAACAUACAGUGAUCCAUCGGAGGAUGGAAAGCACUGAUUGUUGCUAAAUGCACCAGCAAAGAACUGAGCGUGAGACCCGAAGGACUUCAGAUUAAGUACAUACUCUAAAAUAGCAGGGAUCCUAGCAGAUUCUGGAGACAAGUGGCAAUGAUGAGCCCAAGGGGAGAAAUGUUUUCAUUUUGCUGAGUAACAGCUCCUCAUAGAAUUCUUUCUGCUUUGGUUUGGAAUGCAUCCCUCUGGAACAUGAGCACUCGAUUUCCAAUGCCUACCCAAAUAACAGGCUCCGAGUUGCAGCAGUCCUGGACGGGGUGCCUGAAUCUGCCCCUGUGCUGUGUUAGAAGGACCAGAAAUGGGGUGAUGUUCAUGGGUGGUCAAAGCGAGAGCUUAAGUAGAUCUGCAAAACCAGAAGUAUCUGGGCCAGUUGAACACAAUCAGGAUGACCCAAGCUCAGUCUUCGUGGAUCUUCCAUAGAACUUGUGGUACCAAUAGAUUAGGAGGGAAGGCAUAUGCCAGGUGAUCCUUCCAUGACAUCAGGAGGGCAUCUACCAUUGACCCUUAGAGUACAAAGGAAAUUUCCUGUUCACCCACAAGAUGAAAAUUUUCCAGCUCGGCAUUCCCCAUUGGGCAAAGAUAUUGUCAAGAACCAAAUUGUGAAUCCUCCACUUGUGAUUUGAGGGAAAAAGUUUAUUCAGGCUGU